rnacentral:rRNA from 1 species
UACGGAGGGUGCGAGCGUUGUCCGGAAUCACUGGGCGUAAAGGGUGUGUAGGUGGCGCCGUAAGUCGGGUGUGAAAUUUCGGAGCUUAACUCCGAAACUGCAUUCGAUACUGCGGUGCUUGAGGACUGGAGAGGAGACUGGAAUUCAUGGUGUAGCAGUGAAAUGCGUAGAGAUCAUGAGGAAGACCAGUGGCGAAGGCGGGUCUCUGGACAGUUCCUGACACUGAGACACGAAGGCCAGGGGAGCAAACGGG